CUAGCACGUGCGAGUUGCGACGAGCAGCAGCUGCCACCACCGCACGCAGCCCACGAUUGGAGACGGGAUUCAGCACCUACAACAGGAUUAAAUAGUGGAAUUGGUAGUGUGAUCUUCAUAAGAAGUCAAGAUGGUGAAGUUCUCGGCUGAAGAUCUCCGUGUCAUUAUGGACAAAAAGAACAAAAUUAUGGACAAAAAGAACAAAAUUGGCAAGUCUACGUUUACAGAUUCCCUUGUGGCACCUGCUAGGAUUAUUGCCCAAGAAGUUGCUGGCGAUGUUCGCAUGACUGAUACUCGUGCAAAUGAACCAGAGCCUGCAGUAGCUAAUCUAAAGAGGGGUGGUGCGACAUGGAAAGAUAUUAUAAUUUUAGUGGAGGGUGCAAUAAUAUUAGUCCAAGCUUUAGUGUUUGUAAUUUUGCUUUCAAACUUGAUGUAAUAUUGAAAGCAAUCUUUCUGUUGUAACCCUCUUAGACUAGCUGGUGGUGAGCUUAGGGCACUCACAAUGCAGACUCUAUCAUAGAGUUUAAAGUUAUUUAUUACCUCGAACAA